AGUUUGAUUUUGCAUUUCAAGGAACUUGAAGAUGAAAACAGUUUGUAUUAUUUUAAUCUUGUUUGCUGGAACUGCUGGAAGAUGUUGCCAAAGAAAGAGUGUGGUAGGUGGAGCUACAUAUAUCUACGAAUCCACUGUAGAAUCUUCUAAAAUACCGUCUAAAUGUUUUAAUGGAUGUACCUACAGUAUAGAAGGGGAUAAAUCAGGAAAACGUGUCUGUUUUGGACCUGGCCCCUUCACAACAGAAUGUACAGAUGUAAG